GUGGCUUAGUUGUAAAGCGCUUGGGUUCCAAACCAAGAGGUCCCGAGUUCGAAUCUCGCC
rnacentral:tRNA from 1 species